rnacentral:rRNA from 1 species
AGAUUGAACGCUGGCGGCAUGCUUUACACAUGCAAGUCGAACGGUAACAGGCCGCAAGGUGCUGACGAGUGGCGAACGGGUGAGUAAUGUAUCGGAACGUGCCCAGUCGUGGGGGAUAACGCAGCGAAAGCUGCGCUAAUACCGCAUACGAUCUGUGGAUGAAAGCGGGGGACCGUAAGGCCUCGCGCGAUUGGAGCGGCCGAUAUCAGAUUAGGUAGUUGGUGGGGUAAAGGCUCACCAAGCCAACGAUCUGUAGCUGGUCUGAGAGGACGACCAGCCACACUGGGACUGAGACACGGCCCAGACUCCUACGGGAGGCAGCAGUGGGGAAUUUUGGACAAUGGGCGCAAGCCUGAUCCAGCAAUGCCGCGUCGCAGGAAGAAGGCCUUACGGUUGUAAACUGCUUUUGUACGGAACGAAACGGUCCUGGUUAAUACCUGGGCUAAUGACGUACCGUAAGAAUAAGCACCGGCUAACUACGUGCCAGACAGCCGCGGUAAC